rnacentral:rRNA from 1 species
GACGAACCGUGCAAACGUUGUUCGGAAUCACUGGGCUUAAAGGGCGCGUAGGCGGGCGAGCAAGUCCGGGGUGAAAUCUUUCGGCUUAACCGGAAAAGUGCCUUGGAUACUGCUCGUCUGGAGGAAGGUAGGGGCAGGUGGAACUUCUGGUGGAGCGGUGAAAUGCGUUGAUAUCAGAAGGAACGCCGGUGGCGAAAGCGACCUGCUGGACCUUUUCUGACGCUGAGGCGCGAAAGCUAGGGGAGCAAACGGG